rnacentral:rRNA from 1 species
CGUACACUCCUGCGGGAGGCAGCAGUGGGGAAUUUUGGACAAUGGGCGAAAGCCUGAUCCAGCCAUGCCGCGUGCAGGAUGAAGGCCUUCGGGUUGUAAACUGCUUUUGUACGGAACGAAACGGCCUUUUCUAAUAAAGAGGGCUAAUGACGGUACCGUAAGAAUAAGCACCGGCUAACUACGUGCCAGCAGCCGCGGUAAUACGUAGGGUGCAAGCGUUAAUCGGAAUUACUGGGCGUAAAGCGUGCGCAGGCGGUUAUGUAAGACAGUUGUGAAAUCCCCGGGCUCAACCUGGGAACUGCAUCUGUGACUGCACAGCUAGAGUACGGUAGAGGGGGAUGGAAUUCCGCGUGUAGCAGUGAAAUGCGUAGAUAUGCGGAGGAACACCGAUGGCGAAGGCAAUCCCCUGGACCUGUACUGACGCUCAUGCACGAAAGCGUGGGGAGCAAACAGGAUUAGAUACCCGUGUAGUCCC